rnacentral:lncRNA from 1 species
AAAGCGCAUUCCCGAAUUCGCUGACUCAGCCUUCCUGCCGGAUCCAGAUGUGGCACUAACCAGGCGGAUGGUAGCCCUACUCGGCUACCAGUGGGACGGGGUCUUCUACAAAAUGGUGCUCUCUUGUCACAUUGUGGAACUCAAAGACCUGUAGGGCUGACUAUCUAAAUGAACUGCGGCGUCGAUUCAUGUUGACAUCGUCUUGACCUGUCUAUAAGGAGAGUAUAGGUAUCUGCAGAAUCUUGGGGAUUUCUCGUGUAUUUACGUCGAGUUCGCACACGGGACAACGAGGUGUCGUGGCGCGACUGUUACGCUACCAGUUAGAUCAAGUAUCCUGAAGAGUGCCGUCCUGACACCGAAUUGUUUGGGAAUUUUGCGCUCCAAUCUACGAAAGGUAAUAGCAGGAUGACAAAGGCGCCAGUCCUGAAGUAGUGGUGUUUUUAGGGAGUCAACUCCCGGAAACCGAAACCGCCCUUUCCUGGAUGGUGUCAUCCCCCGCCGGAGGGAUUUCCAACGUAUGCCGGAAAAGCAAAACGCUGUUGAUGCACAAAUGAAUGGCCUUUUAAUCCAGAACACUGCGUGUUUCUGUUUUUAGUUUUUCUUAUUUCCACGUUGUUAGGUUCAGCAUUGGUCCCGCUUGCCCCUGCCACAAUGAGCAAUGCGUGGUCAUACGAGUGCACAGUGUUUUCCGUAGUAGUUUCUUCUACUGCAAGUCUUUUGUGGCAUGUUCACACUUGCCCAAUCCUCUGGAGCAAACAAAUCCGCGAAGCCAAGGUGCGGCGUUUGCGUAACGAACUAGGCGCGUGUCUAGGUGCCACUGAAUGGCGUAGCUGCGCUUGGCACGACUAAAAUUGGGGUGUUCUGGGUUGCAGGGCUCUGCCUCUGCGGGUUGCCUCCUUUUUGGAAAAUGUGCUCAUCGAAAACAUAUCACUGUUAUCUGGGUGCCUAUUGUCUGUCGCAGAGAGGGUGAGGCACAUUUUCUCCCCGUUUCGUGCGAACUAGCACGUGGGCCGUCUUUUCUCGGGAACGCACUUCUGUCGACGACGCCACGAAAGCGCAACCAGGCGCACAGAAGCACUCGAGAUAAAACCGAGAAGACCGCCACGAGCGAACGUGAAACAGCGUAUGAUUAUCCGGGAAUGUACACAUGUCUCUGCAUGGUUGUUGCACGGGCACUGGAAUAGCGUUUCUGUUGAGUCCAUCGCGAUGUUAGACUGACCGCGUCAACACUGCUCAUCUGAAUGGCUCCAAUUCUGCUUCCUCUUCCUCAGUGGGCCGCUUAUGUUUGGGUCUUUUGACAUCCACGUUUUUCGAUGUAGCGGGAGAAUUUCAAGAUCGGCUGAGAGUUUCAGCUCGAAUGCAGUGCCGCAUCCGUUAAGCCUGUAUUGGCGGUGAAACUUCCGUUAGACUGUUGC